ACACAGACACACAAAGAAGAGACUCUCAUGUGAAAAGACAGACACACAGAGAGAAUAUCGUAAGAGGACAGAGGAAGAGAUUGGAGAGAAGCAACUGUAAGCCAAGGAACACCAAAGACUGCAGGAAACCCCAAAAACUAGGAACAGGGCAUGGAACAGAUUCUCAGAACCCAUAUUCACAGAAAAAGUCCCUGCCAACACCUGAAAUUCAACCUUCUGGAUUCCAGAUCUAAGCAAACCUGUGCUUAGAUAACGAUUACGCCAAACCACCGAAUUCAAGAAAAAGCUUAUCAUGCCCGACUAUUGCAUGACAGUAUGUGAAAGCCAAUCAACUAAAGAUAUUUUAGGAGAAUAAAAUAUUGGGAGAGCACUGGAGUAAGUACAGUCAUUCCUGGAAUGGAAGCAUUUAAUUAAAAUGACUAUGAGCCUGAAGUGACUAGGGCGUGGGAACAUCCUUGAUAAGAAGAUAGUGAAGCAUGUAACACUCUUGGAUAGAUGGUGCUGAUGGAACAUUUUGAGGAGACCCAAGUUGGUGGAGGUAAUGGGAGACUCAGGACAACAGAAAGUAUGGGAUUUUCAAUGCUGCAGAAAUGGGGCUGAUAUGAUUCGGCUCUGUCCCCACCCAAAUCUCGCCUUGAACUAUAGUCCCAUAAUUCCCAUGUGUGGUGGAAGGGACCCAGUGGGAGGUAAUUGAAUCAUGGAGGCAGGUCUCUCCCAUGCUAUUCUCAUGACAGUGAAUAAGUCUCACGAGAUCUGAUGGUUUUAUAAAGGGGAGUUUCCCUACACAAGUUCUGUCUUGCCUGCUGCAUGUAAGACAUGACUUUGCUCCUUAUUCACCUUCUGCCAUGAUUGUGAUGCCUCCCCAGCCAUGAGUGAGCCAAACUCACUCUUACUGUAAGUCAAUUAAACCUCUCUCCUUUAUAAA